rfam:Oryza sativa Japonica Group DNA, chromosome 11, cultivar: Nipponbare, complete sequence.
GAUUUCAAUUGAAAAAGUCAUCAACAACGAAGUUGUAUAACUCAUCAAGAUCUAUAACUUUUAUUUUGGUCGUUUCUUCAUCUGACGAAGUGAUAGUAACAUUGUUUACAAAAUUUACAUUUUUCUCAUUUGGUUCUAUAAACUAUAAGAGAGAUAUGUAAACUUUGUGAACAAUGUUACUAUCACUUUAUCGGAUGAAGAAAUGACCAAAAUAAAAGUUGUAUGUCUUGAUGAGCUCUACAACUUUUAUGUUCAUGACUUUUUCAGCUGAAAUU